rnacentral:sRNA from 1 species
AACAAGCUUGCGUGAGCGAUUGAAACGGCAUCCUUUUUAUGCUUAACUCGAUUUAGAAUUUGUUAAAAUAAUUAAAUACUUUUUUUGAAAAUUGAGAUGCUGAAUUAAAUUCAACAUAAAAAGAUAUAGUGAAAAGCGCGGUUUUUG